GAGAAGAAACCAAGAUCUGCUAACUCUUAAACCUGGAAUAACCCCCAGUCUUCUUU
rnacentral:tRNA from 1 species